UAAGGAAUAUUGGUCAAUGGACGCAAGUCUGAACCAGCCAUGCCGCGUGAAGGAUGAAGGUCCUCUGGAUUGUAAACUUCUUUUAUCUGGGACGAAAACGGGAUUUUUAUCUCAAUUGACGGUACCAGAGGAAUAAGCACCGGCUAACUCCGUGCCAGCAGCCGCGGUAAUACGGAGGGUGCGAGCGUUAUCCGGAUUUACUGGGUUUAAAGGGUGCGUAGGUGGGCUUAUAAGUCAGUGGUGAAAUCUCCGAGCUUAACUUGGAAACUGCCGUUGAUACUAUAGGUCUUGAAUUAUCUGGAGGUAAGCGGAAUAUGUCAUGUAGCGGUGAAAUGCUUAGAUAUGACAUAGAACACCAAUUGCGAAGGCAGCUUACUACAUAUAAAUUGACGCUGAGGCACGAAUGCGUGGGGAUCAAACA
rnacentral:rRNA from 1 species